rnacentral:rRNA from 1 species
GCCCUUCACUACGGAAUAGCCUCGGGAAACUGAGAGUAAUACCGUAUACGCCCUUUGGGGAAAGAUUUAUCGGUGAAGGAUUAGCCCGCGUCUGAUUAGAUAGUUGGUGGGGUAACGGCCUACCAAGUCGACGAUCAGUAGCUGGUUUGAGAGGAUGAUCAGCAACACUGGGACUGAGACACGGCCCAGACUCCUACGGGAGGCAGCAGUGGGGAAUCUUAGACAAUGGGCGCAAGUGAUCUAGCCAUGCCGCGUGAGUGACGAAGGCCUUAGGGUCGUAAAGCUCUUUCGCCAGGGAUGAUAAUGACAGUACCUGGUAAAGAAACCCCGGCUAACUCCGUGCCAGCAGCCGCGGUAAUACGGAGGGGGUUAGCGUUGUUCGGAAUUACUGGGCGUAAAGCGCGCGUAGGGGAUUGGAAAGUUGGGGGUGAAAUCCCGGGGCUCAACCCCGAACUGCCUCCAAAACUAUCAGUCUAGAGUUCGAGAGAGGUGAGUGGAAUUCCAAGUGUAGAGGUGAAAUUCGUAGAUAUUUGGAGGAACACCAGUGGCGAAGGGGCUCACUGGCUCGAUACUGACGCUGAGGUGCGAAAGUGUGGGGAGCAAACAGGAUUAGAUACCCUGGUAGUCCACACCG